rnacentral:lncRNA from 1 species
CUCCCUCUCUCCAUCUCUCUCCUCUUUCUCUCUCGCUCCCUUCCUCUCGGUAACUGAACAGUGAAAAUUCACAUUGUGGAUCCGCUAACAGGCACAGAUGUCAUGUGAAAACGCACAUGCUCUGCCAUCCACACCGCUUUUCUUUCUUUUCUUUCUGUUUCUUUUUUUUCCCCUUGCUCCUUCUCCCUCUUCUUUGUAACUAACAAAACCACCACCAACUCCUCCUCCUCCUGCUGCCCUUCCUCCUCCUCCUCAGUCCAAGUGAUCACAAAAGAAAUCUUCUGAGCCGGAGGCUGUGGCAUUUUUAAAAAGCAAGCACACUGGAGAGAAAGAAAUAAGAAAAACAAAAGCAAAACAAAAACCCAGACACCAGCAGCCAGGACAUUUUUUUCACCCUUCCCGAAAACAAACAAACAAACAAACAAACAAACAACCAUCAAAACAGUCACCGUCACCAACACCAAAACUGUUAACACUGCGACGACGGCGGCGGCAGCAAACGUCACCCUGAGGCCACAGCGUCCUCCUAAAGGGAUGGUUUCCUCGGCAGCGCAGCUCUUCGCCGACCACCUUCACUCGUGCUGAGCGGGAUUUUUGGGCUCUCUGGGGUUCGGGCUGGGAGCAGCU